rnacentral:rRNA from 1 species
UAAUACGGAGGGUGCAAGCGUUGUUCGGAUUUAUUGGGCGUAAAGCGCGUGUAGGCGGUAUUGUAAGUCUGAUGUGAAAUCCUUGGGCUCAACCUGAGAACUGCAUCAGAUACUGCUUUACUAGAGUGUCGGAGAGGGUACUGGAAUUCCUGGUGUAGAGGUGAAAUUCGUAGAUAUCAGGAAGAACACCGGUGGCGAAGGCGGGUACCUGGACGAUUACUGACGCUGAGACGCGAAAGCGUGGGGAGCAAACAGGAUUAGAUACCCUGGUAGUCCACGCUGUAAACGAUGAGUGCUAGAUGUGGCGGGAAUUGACCCCUGCCGUAUCGCAGCUAACGCGUUAAGCACUCCGCCUGGGGAAGUACGGCCGCAAGGGCUAAAACUCAAAGGAAUUUGACGGGGGCCCGCACAAGCGGUGGAGGAUGUGGUUUUAAUUCCGAUGCAACG